UAUCGUAUUAAUAAUCUGUAAAGGAAUUGAUAACACGAAUGUUAUUGAGUGACAAUAUUCAAGAGAACUUUUAAAUACUCCGCCCUGUUUUAUGCAGGUUGGGUUUUUCAUCUUCACACCAAGAUCUUAAAGGUUCAGAUCUUGGAAUAAGUAGAGUAUAUUUAUUCUUUACUAUGUAAGAGCAUUUAGCUCGAGCGUUUAAGCAGCAAUAAACACAAAGUGCUUCAAGCAACAUGUUGAUGUGUGUGUGUUUAUUCGAUAUAAUUAUAUUAGAUAACAUAUUU